AUCUCCAAGUCAUGUCAUAAGCACCUUUUAUAUCGAAGAAGACCGCAACCAGAUGUUCACCACUGUCAAAUGCCCUCAGAAUUCUGUCUGUCAGUUUGACCAGAUGGUCUACCGUUGACCGUCCUUUCCGAAAACCAGUUUGGUAAGGCACGUAUGCGUUAUUGCUUUCGAGAAAUGUUUGUAGCCGCACAUUAACCAUUUUUUCUAGCAGUUUUCCCAAGCAAGAUGUCAAACUAAUUGGGCGAUAACUUUGUGCCUGCAACGGAUCUUUUCCUGGUUUCGGUAUAGGAAUUACGAUGGCUUGCUUCCAUUCUGAGGGAACUACAGUGGCGAAGCAUCUGGUUAUGGAUAGCGUCUUCUCCCGGUGAACAUGACUUGGUGUUACGGAUUGCUGCCUCCAAUUCUUCUACAGUAAAAGGUUUGGUAUCUAGAA